rnacentral:tRNA from 2 species
UCCCCCAUAGCUCAGCUGGCAGAGCAAUCGACUGUUAAUCGAUGUGUCGUUGGUUCAAGUCCAACUGGGGGAG